rnacentral:rRNA from 1 species
UACGUAGGGUGCAAGCGUUGUCCGGAAUUAUUGGGCGUAAAGAGCUCGUAGGCGGUCUGUCGCGUCGGCUGUGAAAACCCGGAGCUCAACUCCGGGCCUGCAGUCGAUACGGGCAAACUGGAGUGUUGCAGGGGAGACUGGAAUUCCUGGUGUAGCGGUGAAAUGCGCAGAUAUCAGGAGGGACACCGAUGGCGAAGGCAGCUCGCUGGGACGGUACUGACGCUGAGACGCGAAAGCGUGGGGAGCAAACAGG